rnacentral:rRNA from 1 species
AGUGAACGCUGGCGGUAGGCCUAACACAUGCAAGUCGAACGGCAGCACAGUAAGAGCUUGCUCUUACGGGUGGCGAGUGGCGGACGGGUGAGGAAUACAUCGGAAUCUACUUUUUCGUGGGGGAUAACGUAGGGAAACUUACGCUAAUACCGCAUACGACCUACGGGUGAGAGCAGGGGAUCUUCGGACCUUGCGCGAUUGAAUGAGCCGAUGUCGGAUUAGCUAGUUGGCGGGGUAAAGGCCCACCAAGGCGACGAUCCGUAGCUGGUCUGAGAGGAUGAUCAGUCACACUGGAACUGAGACACGGUCCCGACUCCUACGGGAGGCAGCAGUGGGGAAUAUUGGACAAUGGGCGCAAGCCUGAUCCAGCCAUACCGCGUGGGUGAAGAAGGCCUUCGGGUUGUAAAGCCCUUUUGUUGGGAAAGAAAAGCAGCAGGUUAAUACCCCGCUGUUCUGACGGUACCCAAAGAAUAAGCACCGGCUAACUUCGUG